rnacentral:lncRNA from 1 species
AAAACCCAAAGAUGAGAAGUUUUCAAAUCAAAACUAAUAAAAUGCCAGAGAUUACAGGUAAGGGGGUUGGUUAUACAGAGGGAAGGUGUUAGCACCCAAAGUGUUCUAGGUACUUCUAGGGAGCCCUUUUUUAUGUGUGUAUGUGUUUUUGGUAUAAAAGAUGUUUGCAAUAAAUAGAGUGUGGGGGUGAGAAGAUAAUUCAUUAAUUAUAUUUUUGUGUUUGACAAGACCUUUAGACUUGUGCCUACGUGCCAACAUAAAAAUGAGGGAUCAAAACCUCGUAGUUCGUGGUAACAAUUUCAAAGUGAGGGGAUUGCUUUUAAUCAAAAUUUGAGUUUAAAAGAGGCACAAAGGGUCCAAAGGUUUGAAUGAGUGUUAGUUCUUUUUGUCUUUUGAAAUUUUAAGUCAAGAUGGUUAGAUUCAUUUACAAGUUUGAUUUAAAAAAAGAGUUUUAAAAAUGCAAUGGCUUAAGGCCAAAGUUUCUAAUUUGCAAUAAAGUAUACGUUUAGAAAUUCCAAGCAAAGAAGGUUUUUGAAAAGGGGGAGAGAUUUUGAAAUUUAAGAAAAUGGGAAGAGAUAAAGAGACUAAUCCUAAGCAAAAACUUAAAAGUUAAGAGUUGAAAAGAUCUGACCAACGGGAUGCAAUCCAAUAGACAAGAAUGUCAUAUAGAAACCCACUUUUUCGUUUAGACUUUAAAUCAAGCAAUAUCAAUAUGCAAGUAGAAAUAUGAAGAGCAAGGCAUCAAAUAAAUAUAGCCAC